AAAGCAGUUGAAUCUUAUCUUACAAAGUUUAUAGUGUGAGAAUACUGAGGGCCCAGUUGCUCAGUUGACCAAUUAAGUUUCUUUCUCUUUUCUCACCCUACCCAACUGCCGGCAGGCAAUUAAUGAGGAAUGACCUGGUCAAAAGACAAGAAGAGGACUUUGAGGAGAGGCAAAGUCCUGGAUAAAGAAAACUACAGGGAGUUCCCAUCAUCACUCAGAGGAUCCCAACAUUCUAGAACUUCUGUUUGGACCAAGUAAUUUACCAUGAGCGGAUUCAUCCUAACAUAUGGCUAUUCAAGUGUAAGAGAGUGUAAUAAGAGG
rnacentral:lncRNA from 1 species